rnacentral:piRNA from 1 species
CUAAUCCCCGUCUCAGGAACCUC